UAUUUGUUGGCCAAAAAAACUCUCGACUAUUUUCUCUUUCUCCUCUCUCUCUCUUUGUCUACGAAGAUAUUGAAAAAUCAGAAGAGAUAUCUCUGAAAAAUCGAUUGAAAGCUCGGUUUGAGUGAUUCAGUUUCUUGUGACCUCCGGCGAUGCAUGUAAUCUGAGAACAAAGGGGGAUGAGCUUGAGACCAGAGACGCUGAGCAUGAGAAGCUUAAGUUGAAGUUGAAGAAACUUCAGCAGAUGAAGGAGUUCAACCCUAACAUGAUGAAAAAAGAGUUGCAGAGAGUGGAAUUUUCUGGUAAAGCUUUUGCAUCCGCAGUCUGAUCGAUCUCUGGGACAGAAACUUGCAAGCCAUCUGAACGUGAGGCCAAGCAUCUCCAGUUAUGUUAAGUCUCUCUGUGAGUGAUAAUGCUAACUACAAAGGCUAAACAUUUCAGAGAUUAGCUGCUUUCAGUAUGGAUUAGAUGUGAAUUGCUGCUGCUUUUUUUUCCUAUGUUCAUCUCUUUAAAUAAAGAGUUCAUGAGGAAAUUCUAUUUUUCUGAUUCAAUGGUGUGUGGCUUUUGAAUU